UCAUCUCCGGGGGUAGAGCACUGUUUCGGCUAGGGGGCCAUCCCGGCUUACCAACCCGAUGCAAACUGCGAAUACCGGAGAAUGUUAUCACGGGAGACACACGGCGGGUGCUAACGUCCGUCGUGAAGAGGGAAACAACCCAGACCGCCAGCUAAGGUCCCAAAGUCAUGGUUAAGUGGGAAACGAUGUGGGAAGGCCCAGACAGCCAGGAUGUUGGCUUAGAAGCAGCCAUCAUUUAAAGAAAGCGUAAUAGCUCACUGGUCGAGUCGGCCUGCGCGGAAGAUGUAACGGGGCUAAACCAUGCACCGAAGCUGCGGCAGCGAC
rnacentral:rRNA from 2 species